GCCAGGUGUGGUGGCACACACCUGUAAUCCCAGCUACUUGGGAGGCUGAGGUAGGAGGAUUGCUUGAGCCCAGGGUGUCAAAGCUGCAGUGAGACAUGAUCAUGCCACUACACUCCAGCCUGGGCAACAGAGUGAGAUCCUGUCUCAA
ensembl:misc_RNA Metazoa_SRP Metazoan signal recognition particle RNA